rnacentral:rRNA from 1 species
AAAGGAAUUGACGGGGGCCCGCACAAGCGGAGGAACAUGUGGUUUAAUUCGAUGAUACGCGAGGAACCUUACCUGGGCUUAAAUGCAGACUGCAUUCUCGGGAAACCGGGAUUUCCUUCGGGACCGUUUGCAAGGUGCUGCAUGGUUGUCGUCAGCUCGUGCCGUGAGGUGUCGGGUUAAGUCCCAUAACGAGCGCAACCCUUAUCGUUAGUUGCCAGCGGGUCAUGCCGGGGACUCUAACGAAACUGCCGGUGUAAACCGAGAGGAAGGUGGGGAUGACGUCAAAUCAGCACGGCCCUUAUGUCCAGGGCUACACACGUGUUACAAUGGCCGGUACAGAGGGCAGCUACCUGGCGACAGGAUGCCAAUCUCAAAAACCGGUCUCAGUUCGGAUCGGAGUCUGCAACCCGACUCCGUGAAGCUGGAUUCGCUAGUAAUCGCGCAUCAGCCAUGGCGCGGUGAAUACGUUCCCGGGCCUUGCACACACCGCCCGU